rnacentral:rRNA from 1 species
GGUGAACGCUGGCGGUAGGCCUAACACAUGCAAGUCGAACGGCAGCACAGUAAGAGCUUGCUCUUACGGGUGGCGAGUGGCGGACGGGUGAGGAAUACAUCGGAAUCUACUUUUUCGUGGGGGAUAACGUAGGGAAACUUACGCUAAUACCGCAUACGACCUACGGGUGAAAGCAGGGGAUCUUCGGACCUUGCGCGAUUGAAUGAGCCGAUGUCGGAUUAGCUAGUUGGCGGGGUAAAGGCCCACCAAGGCGACGAUCCGUAGCUGGUCGGAGAGGAUGAUCAGCCACACUGGAACUGAGACACGGUCCAGACUCCUACGGGAGGCAGCAGUGGGGAAUAUUGGACAAUGGGCGCAAGCCUGAUCCAGCCAUACCGCGUGGGUGAAGAAGGCCUUCGGGUUGUAAAGCCCUUUUGUUGGGAAAGAAAAGCAGCAGGUUAAUACCCCGCUGUUCUGACGGUACCCAAAGAAUAAGCACCGGCUAACUUCGUG